AGUGAACGCUGGCGGUAGGCCUAACACAUGCAAGUCGAACGGCAGCACAGUAAGAGCUUGCUCUUACGGGUGGCGAGUGGCGGACGGGUGAGGAAUACAUCGGAAUCUACUUUUUCGUGGGGGAUAACGUAGGGAAACUUACGCUAAUACCGCAUACGACCUACGGGUGAAAGCAGGGGAUCUUCGGACCUUGCGCGAUUGAAUGAGCCGAUGUCGGAUUAGCUAGUUGGCGGGGUAAAGGCCCACCAAGGCGACGAUCCGUUGCUGGUGUGAGAGGCUGGUCAGCCACACUGGAACGGAGCCACGGUCCAGACUCCUACGGGAGGCAGCAGUGGGGAAUGUUGGACAAUGGGCGCAAGCCUUAUCCAGUCAUACCGCGUGGGUGAAGAAGGCCUUCGGGUUGGAAAGCCCUUUUGUUGGGAAAGAAAAGCAGCAGGUUAAUACCCCGCUGUUCUGACGGUACCCAAAGAAUAAGCACCGGCUAACUUCGUG
rnacentral:rRNA from 1 species